rnacentral:lncRNA from 1 species
GGGAAAUGCAGUUUUUAGCCUGGCGGAUAACUGAAAAGGAGUUUGCACAGGUGCCGGUGCAAUCUAAGAACCCAGGGGCUAGAAGCAGCAGGAGCUUCGAAUGUACAUGAUGACUGCUAGACCAGCCCGAACUCCAUAGAACAAAGCCAGGCAGUGGUGGCGCAUGCCUUUAUAAUCCUAGCACUCUGGAGGCAAAGGAGGCAGAGUUUCGACCAGUUUCAAGGCCAGCCUGGUCGAAAAAUCAAAUCAAUACCACCUGAAAAGCAGGUGAGGCAGGGACCAGCGGCUCAGCAUGUAAAGACACUUACCUCCAAGCUGGAGGGCCAGAGCUCCAUCCCGAGGGAUUCACAUGGCAGAAGGACGCAACUGACUCCCCAAAAUCCUUCUCCGACCACACAUCCACACUGCACAUUUGCUCCCACACAUGUGAACACACACAAAAUAAAUGUGCUUAAACAUAUUGGUGGGGCAGAAGUUCACAAUGCAGUCCACACAAGUUUCUAGCACUUUCCACGCUGCUAUUCUGUCUAUUGUGUAGUAGUUCCCUUCCAACUCCUUGUGCUGGUGUGUGUGCAUGUGUGCGUGUGUCUGUGUGCGCAUGUAUUUAUGUGCAUGUGUGUGUUUGUGUAUGUGUGUGCACGUGCGUGUGAUCUCAGCAGCAGGGAUCUUGUCUCCAGUUCUCUUGGGAUGUGGUGUGUGUGUGUGUGUGUGUGUGUGUGUGUGUGUGUGUGUGUGAUAUCUCAGCAGCAGGGAUCUUGUGUGAUAUCUCAGCAGCAGGGACCUUGUCUCCAGUUCUCUUGGGAUAUGGUGUGUGUGUGUGUGUGUGUGUGUGUGUGUGUGUGUGAUAUCUCAGCAGCAGGGAUCUUGUGUGAUAUCUCAGCAGCAGGGACCUUGUCUCCAGUUCUCUUGGGAUGUGGUGUGUGUGUGUGUGUGAGAGAGAGAGAGAGAGAGAGAGAGAUAUUUCAGCAGCAGGGAUCUUAUCUACAGUGUUCUUGGUGUGUGUGUGUGUGUGUGUGUGUGUGUGUGUGUGUGUGUGUGUGUGUGAUAUCUC